rnacentral:rRNA from 1 species
UACAGAGGGGGCGAGCGUUGUUCGGAAUUACUGGGCGUAAAGGGCGCGUAGGCGGCCUCUUAAGUCGAACGUGAAAUCCCCGGGCUCAACCCGGGAACUGCGUCCGAUACUGGGGGGCUUGAAUCCGGGAGAGGGAUGUGGAAUUCCAGGUGUAGCGGUGAAAUGCGUAGAUAUCCGAAGGAACAUCAGUGGCGAAAGCGGCUUCCUGGACCAGAACUGACGAUCAGGCACGAAAGCGUGGGGAGCAAACAGG